AUGAAAUUUUAACACAAGGUUUAUGAUCACAAAAGGAAGGUUGGGAUUGAUUUUGGGAGUUUUGGUCCCAAUAUUUUAGGAAUUAGGGGCCAAAAAGGGCCCAAAUAAGCAUUUUCUUGGUUUUUGCACUAUAACUUUAGUUUAAGUGAAUAGAAAUCUAUGAAAUUUUGACACAAGGUUUAUGACCACAAAAGGACGGUUGGGAUUGAUUUUGGGAGUUUUGGUUCCAACAGUUUAGGAAUUAAGGGCCAAAAAGGGCCCAAAUAAGCAUUUUCUUGGUUUUCGC
rnacentral:lncRNA from 1 species